rfam:Myotis brandtii contig220334, whole genome shotgun sequence.
GGGCCUGCAGAGAGAGAGGUAGGGUUUGAUCCACAGUCUCUAUGGCAGCUGUUGAUCAGCUGUUGGCUCUCUCUUUCUCUUCA